GGCGACGUAGGCAAGUGGUAAGCCAGAGGUUUGCAAAACCUCCAUUCACCGGUUCGAAUCCGGUCGUCGCCUCCA
rnacentral:tRNA from 1 species